AGGUCAAGCUACGAAGAGCGCAUGGUGAAUGCCUUGGCACUAGGAGCCGAUGAAGGACGCGAUAAGCUGCGAUAAGCUUCGGGUAGGCGCAAAUAGCCUGUGAUCCGGAGAUUUCCGAAUGGGGCAACCC
rnacentral:rRNA from 1 species